rnacentral:rRNA from 1 species
GAUCCUGGCUCAGAUUGAACGCUGGCGGCGUGCCUAACACAUGCAAGUCGUGCGUGAAAGGGCUUCGGCCUGAGUAAAGCGGCGCACGGGUGAGUAACGCGUGGAUGAUCUGCCCAUGAGUUGGGGAUAACGGCUGGAAACGGUCGCUAAUACCGAAUACGCUCCGAUUUCGACGUUCGGGGGAAAGGAGGCCUCUGCUUGCACGCUUCCGCUCAUGGAUGAGUCCGCGUCCCAUUAGCUUGUUGGCGGGGUAAUGGCCCACCAAGGCGACGAUGGGUAGCCGACCUGAGAGGGUGAUCGGCCACACUGGGACUGGAACACGGCCCAGACUCCUACGGGAGGCAGCAGUGGGGAAUAUUGCGCAAUGGGCGAAAGCCUGACGCAGCGACGCCGCGUGAAGGGAUGAAGGCCUUCGGGUCGUAAACCUCUGUCAGGAGGGAAGAACCGCCUGGGUGCUAAUCAGCCUGGGUCUGACGGUACCUCCAAAGGAAGCACCGGCUAACUCCGUGCCAGCAGCUGC